rnacentral:rRNA from 1 species
UAAGACGAGCCACCCAAACGUUAUUCGGAAUCACUGGGCUUAAAGCGUGCGUAGGCGGCCUGCAAAGUUGGGUGUGAAAUCCCUCGGCCUAACCGAGGAAUUGCGCCCAAAACUAGUGGGCUAGAGGGAGAUAGAGGUAAGCGGAACUGAUGGUGGAGCGGUGAAAUGUGUUGAUAUCAUCAGGAACACCGGUGGCGAAAGCGGCUUACUGGGUCUUUUCUGACGCUGAGGCACGAAAGCUAGGGUAGCGAACGGGAUUAGAUACCCCGGUAGUCCUAGCCGUAAACGAUGAGCACUAGGUCGAGGAACUUCCACAGUUUCCCGGCCGUAGCGAAAGUGUUAAGUGCUCCGCCUGGGGAGUAUGGUCGCAAGGCUG